rnacentral:lncRNA from 1 species
ACCAAUCCCACCCAUUUAUCUUUACCGGGUUCUACCACUAAUCCCACCUCUCCUAACUUGUCUGUUUCCCCUUCCCUGCUCCACGUUGAUGCUUCCAUACUACCCAAGGUCAGCCUCCACCUCACUAUCAUGGCUAUGUGACAUAUGCUACUAUCGGUAUUCCUAUCCCCACUUCUUACCGACAAGCCAAGAAUGAUCACAAUUGGAAUGUCGCAAUGCAAGUGGAAUAUGAUGCACUUCAUGAGAAUCACACUUGGGAUGAUGUCCAAAGACUGAAGAAUGUCAAAGUCCUUGGAUCAAAGUGGGUUUAUACAGAGAAGU